rnacentral:sRNA from 1 species
GUCCCAUCUGGAGCAGGGGAGCAGUGGCGCGCAGCCUUUGGACUCGCCGACCAGUGCGUUCGGUCCAGUUGGAGGUACCUCCUGCAGGUUACCAGAGGUGCCACCCUUCACAAGCCCCUAACUUGGCCAAGUCUCAGAGGACUCAUAAGGUUAACAUAGCAACUGGACGUCGUCUGGCACAUGGAUGAAGAAGGGAUAACAGAGAAGUCAAUAAGAUCUAAGAGAUGGGGCCGACAAGACUUCUGAGCUCAAAUUCUUCGAAGGAAUCCAGCCAGAAUCCAAGGCCUCCAACUGGUGGAUGAGCUCACAGGGAGAAAGUGGACAGUAUAUGUGCUUUGCUUGGAUCACACACAGUAGUUAGCUUAAAAGGUAAAGGAACCUGCCACCAAGCCUGACAAUUGAAGUUCGAUCAGGGAACUGACUCAUGCAAGUUGUCCUCUGACCUCCAUGUGGGUUUACAUAUACACACAAUAAGUAAAUGAAUUGAUUAAUAAAUAAUUACCAAAGCAUAUUUUAAGAAGUGGGGAGAGAUUGGUAUAAUACUUCAGAUUACCAGUCUCUGUUGAAAACAUCUGGACCAUCUUCCCUGAAGGCCGACAAUUUACUAGAGUAUGUAGAUGCCAUGGUGAGUGGGGCUGUGAGCGCCAGCCCUUAGAUAUGAGUGACUCUGCUU